GGCUUAUUGAUAAUAAUUUUAAGUCUAUCUGCCCAAUGAUAUUAUAAUUAAAUGGCUGCAGUAUAAUUAACUGUACAAAGGUAGCAUAAUCAAUUGUUUUUUAAUUAAAAACUGGAAUGAAAGAAUUAAUGAGAUAUAUACUGUCUCAUAUAUAUAUAAUGAAAUUAAAUUUUUAGUAAAAAUGCUAAAAUAAAUUUAUGGGACGAUAAGACCCUAUAGAAUUUUAUAUUUAUAUUUAGAUUUAAAUUUAUUUUAAAUAUAAAUAUUUAAUUGGGAGGAUUAAUAAAUUUAAAUAACUUUAUUUAGAAUAAAACCUUUAAUUAAAGAAUAAUUUUUGAUCUUUUAUUAUAAAUUAAAAGAAAAAAUUACCUUAGGGAUAACAGCGUAAUAUCUUUUUAAAGAUCAUAUUAAUAAAGAUGAUUGCGACCUCGAUGUUGAAUUAAGAUAAAUUUUAAAUGGAGAAGUUUAAUAAUUAAGUCUGUUCGACUUUUAAAAUCUUACAUGAUUUGAGUUCAAAUCGACGUGAGU
rnacentral:rRNA from 1 species